rnacentral:ncRNA from 2 species
CCUUCUGAGGAACGCUGCGAGAUUUUUUCAUAAAAUCCCAGGCUCAGAUUACAAGUUUACUUGUAAACGGCGUUCACCAAUU